GCGAAGAUCUAUUGCUUCCUCGAAAGGUUGAGCUCUGAAACACUGAAAGAGCAGACCGAUGUCGAAGUCAACCUCCCCAGAGACAGCCUCAACAGCAUCACCGCCCGCCUCCACUGCCCUUAGCGAUCUCUCUCUCCUCCGCCCAAAACAUUUCAAAAAGAUGACGGUUCAAUUUGGGCGGUUCCAAUUGUUCCGCCAUCUUAAUACUCCCACUCGGGUUACAGGCUCGCGCUACCAAGCCCAGCGACCAAUUCUUCCAACUACAGCCUUAUUAAGAGGAAAUGUUUCUGCUGUAUUUUCGAUGUGGGAAAUUGUUCGAGGACGGAGGACAUGGCCGACAUGCUUGGCUUUCAUAGCAAAAAAUGGAGCAGAGAACUGUGUGUGUGUAUGGAUUUUGUCAGCCAUGAGAUUUUCUUUGUAUCAUUGUGAUGGAAAUUGUAUGAUUUUUGUUGAGGGAAAGAUGAAAGAGUGUCGCUCUCAGCAUUAUUUGGAAGCCUAGGACUAGUUAGCAGCCAAAGAUUGUUGAGUUUGAUUCUUUCUCGAUCAGACAAUACCAUGACAUAUAUUGUUAAGAAAUUAGAAAAAUAUGCUUUGGACAGACCGGACCGGACCUCUUCAGCAAGUUAAGUUGAAAUGGAGUUAGUUCAAGCGUUAGGUUUGCCUGCUCAUCCCAGCCAGCACGUAAAUAUAUUUCUACCCAAAAGAUUGUGUAUUGUUCAAUUUUCAUUCCCUUCUUACUUUUUCAUAAUACUUUGUUCAUAUCUCGCAAGAUGAAACUAAUCUAAUCCUGUCAAAUCUCGGUUUGUUCUCAAAAGGAUAUGAUAUAUGUUCUUUUUGAAAUU